CAAUAGCGUAUAUUUAAGUUGUUGCAGUUAAAAAGCUCGUAGUUGGACCUUGGACCUGGACAGGCGGUCCGCCUCACGGCGUGUACUGUCUUGCUGGGUCUUUCCUCUUGGUGAUCUGUUGUUUCGGCAGCAGGGAACCAGGACUUUUACUUUGAAAAAAUUAGAGUGUUCAAAGCAGGCUCGACGCCGGAAUAUAUUAGCAUGGAAUAAUAAAAUAGGACGUGCGGUUCUAUUUUGUUGGUUUUUGGAAUCGCCGUAAUGAUUAAUAGGGACAGUCGGGGGCAUUAGUACUCACAUGCUAGAGGUGAAAUUCUUGGAUUUUGUGAAGACUAACUUCUGCGAAAGCAUUUGCCAAGGAUGUUUUCAUUAA
rnacentral:rRNA from 1 species